CCCUGCUCCCAAAUUUGCCCCUCAUUUAACAAGGCUUCAAUGAUUUCUUCGGUUUGGAGCAGUGUAAUAAUGAAAUUGAAGCCUGUUGGGUUGCAUCACCUCUUCCGAAUUCCACUUCUGCAACCACUCAAAAGUCACCGUUCACCCUUUCACUAACCUUAGAUCCUUUUCGUUUCAAAUCAAAUCCACUUUUUUCUCUACUUAGGUCUCUCUCUCUCUCUCAAAGUGGUUCUGGAGCACUCCUCUCCAUCGAUUUCUCAAUUCUUGUGUGUCUCUCUCAUUCGAUCUCUCUAAUCCAUGACCCCAUCUAGCGACGAUAUGGUGUGUAGUGGUAAAAUUUGCUCCCUAGGGUUUCAGUGGUAGGAUUCUCGAGCAGAUCCGUGGUAGAUGGCUGUUGAGGUCAUGUGCUUCAGCUUGUUAGUUCUAGCAACUGAUGUUGAACUUUUGUAAUUCUGGCGACUAUAAUGAUGAUUCCGACAACUUGGGUAGUGGUUUGCGACGACAACAGUGACUACCUGCGGUGGAGGCGAACUUCAGCCGCCAAACAACGGUGGUCUAUGGUGGUGGUUGUAUACUUUCGGCCGCCAAAAUCGUCUUGUGUUGAAGUGGAGCAAAAAAUCUCUGAUCUCUAAGAUUACAGGGACCUAAACUGCCAAACAAAUUUCAAAGCUCAUGAUUAGAUAGAUAGGUCUCAAAACGAAAGGGGGGAAACCGAUAGAAAUCGAAGUGUGAGCAUAUGUUGAUUGUUCAAUCGAAAUGCAAACAAUUUUACAAUGUCUUAGUGUUGUUGAUUGCGAAAGAUGGUGUGGUGUCUGAUGCGAGCAAAAUGAAGGCAACCGCCUCUGCCAAGAGAGGAAGUAAAGCCUCCGCCGCCGCUACUUCAGCUAAGGCUAUGCCAACUAACUAUUUCGAAGGUUGUUGCUGUCUAAUAGAGAGGGUGCAAGGCAGGUUUGGUAUUCUUUUUUUGCAAUAGAUUUCUGUUACCUAUGUUAGGUUGAUCUCAGCUGGUGCCCUUGCCCCGCAUGACUUGUGCAUGUAUCCUCCCCUGACAACCACCAUCUUUAAUCUAACUACUUAUAAGCACAAGUUAAAUUAAUACACAAUAAUCAUUGAGUAGGUACUAAUAAUUGUUGAAAGUUCUGCCCUUGAAUUUAAAGGAUCUGAAAGUGUAAGAACUCUUGUCGCUAUUGUGGUAUGAAUGCUUCCUAAGUUCCUAUCAUAACCAUUACCUUCAAUUUUUUUCUUAAUUCUUUAUUAUAGAUGGUGGCAUUGUAGCAGAGAACCAAGCUAAGUUGGUUUUUAUUUUUAUUUUAGCUAUUAUUAUUUACUUGUGAAAAUUAUUUUUCUAUACACAUUUGACUUUUCUUUAAAAAGAACAAACUAGAGUACCAAAUAAGUCCAGUAACUUGGGUUUUCAGAAUCCUGAGUUCUUAGGGAAGUCCCAAAGGUCUCUAAAAUUUUUGACACAGGUGAACAUAGAUUGAGCUACAAGUCGAGACUGAGAAGCCAAGUGUGAAAAAGUCCGAGCAAUCUAAGUUGACAUUUGUUAAUUUUCAUGUUAUUUUGUGGGUAUAAAAUUGGGCUUUCUUGGUUUUUGUUAUUACGUCGAAACACCCGGAUUGUGGAUGGGUGUAUAAAAUUAUUUGUACCUAAUAGAUAAGUAACCGGUUACAAUAUGUGCCACAAUUCUAUGAACUGAUGAUUCAUUUUCCCGCUUU